UAAAUCAGCAUUGUAGCAGUUAAGAUUUAGCAGUGUAACAGUGGGAUAACUCUGAAAAUGAAAUAAGGUCUACCAGUGUAACAGUGGGAUAAUUAUAUCUAUGGCAAUGAGGUAAGGUUUAGCAGCGUUACAGUGAGAUAACUACAUAACUAUGGCAAUGAGGUAAGGUUUAGCAGCGUUACAGUGAGAUAACUACAUAACUAUGGCAAUGAGGUAAGGUUUAGCAGUGUAACAGUGAGAUAAUAUAACUACAUAACUAUGGCAAUGAGGUAAGGUUUAGCAGACUGUAACAGUGGGAUAAUUAUAUCUAUGGCAAUGAGGUAAGGUUUAGCAGUGUAACAGUGAGAUAACUACAUAAUUAUGGCAAUGAGGUAAGGUUUAGCAGUGUAACAGUGGGAUAACUAUGGCAAUGAGGUAAGGUUUAGCAGUGUAACAG